UACGGGGGGUGCGAGCGUUGUCCGGAAUCACUGGGCGUAAAGGGCGCGUAGGUGGUUUGAUAAGGGUGUGGUGAAAGUCCGGGGCUCAACCCCGGAUCUGCCGUGCCGACUGUCAGACUGGAGGGCUCGAGAGGCAGACGGAAUUCCGGGUGUAGCGGUGGAAUGCGUAGAGAUCCGGAAGAACACCGGUGGCGAAGGCGGUUAGCUGGGCAGUUGCUGACACUGAGGCGCGACAGCGUGGGGAGCAAACAGG
rnacentral:rRNA from 1 species